GCAGCGACGUGACAGAACCCAGCCGGAAGUGGCUCAGGGCCCUGAGACAGCCACGGGCAAGCCACCGUGCCCACCUGAUGGGGCUCACUCCUACCUCCGGGCUGAGCUCUCAGUUCACCCUGCAGCGAAACUCUUCACAGAGCUGCAACUGCCAGAGGCCCUCGAGCCCAGAGCAUCAUGCAAAUUUGCCUUGUUAGGAGCCAGCUCCAGUUCCGGAAAACAGGCUGGGUAUGGAUUAUAAACAAGGAUAUUGGAUUUAGAACGAGAAGUGUCUGUGAUGGCAGAGUGGCUUCCUGCCCCUGAGGUGCCCAGCCCAGUGCGGGGAACUCACCUUGCCUACAUUGAAAUAGAAGAGGGUCCCGGCCACCACCUGGGCGAUGAGGAUGAGCAGGAGGAAGGCGAAGUACUAGGCAGAGAGGGUAGAGGGGACAGAACACUGUCCCGCCCCCGGGCAGGGCUGUGGGGGAGGAAGACAGCCGGACCCGAGACGCACGCCCAGCACGCCUGGCCCAGGUCGAGCUCCCUCGGGGCUCUUGCCUUUCUUACGCUGGGACGGGGACGCCGUGGUGAUCGGCCGCCCAGGGCAUGGCCAGUAAGAGGCUUUUCUGAGGCAGGGCGCGGGAAAGGCUCUCAGGACAAGGGUGCAUUGUCUGGGCGGGGGAGAGAAAAUACCCGCGGAAGUCCCUGCCGGAGCGGAGGGCGCCGGGCCCAGCUCUCCCGCCCACCCGCGCGGGCUCCA